rnacentral:rRNA from 1 species
CAAAAGCUCAAAUUUGAAAUCUGGUACCUUCGGUGCCCGAGUUGUAAUUUGGAGAGGGCAACUUUGGGGCCGUUCCUUGUCUAUGUUCCUUGGAACAGGACGUCAUAGAGGGUGAGAAUCCCGUGUGGCGAGGAGUGCGGUUCUUUGUAAAGUGCCUUCGAAGAGUCGAGUUGUUUGGGAAUGCAGCUCUAAGUGGGUGGUAAAUUCCAUCUAAAGCUAAAUAUUGGCGAGAGACCGAUAGCGAACAAGUACAGUGAUGGAAAGAUGAAAAGAACUUUGAAAAGAGAGUGAAAAAGUACGUGAAAUUGUUGAAAGGGAAGGGCAUUUGAUCAGACAUGGUGUUUUGUGCCCUCUGCUCCUUGUGGGUAGGGGAAUCUCGCAUUUCACUGGGCCAGCAUCAGUUUUGGUGGCAGGAUAAAUCCAUAGGAAUGUAGCUUGCCUCGGUAAGUAUUAUAGCCUGUGGGA